rnacentral:lncRNA from 1 species
AGAAUCCUCCAUAAGGAUGCAAGCAGUUAAUGAGCAGUCACAGUUUCUUGUGCCAUUCCUUCUGAACACCAGUACAGAAUCUUUUUCUGUAUGGAAUCAGUUAAAAAAAAACUUUGAAGUACAGAAGUGAAGCAGAAGGACUGGAAAUUUUCUGGUCAUUUUUCUAUAGCUAUUUCUCUGCAGUAUGAAACAACAUCAAUCACAUAAUGACCAAAAACUGCCUAGAGCCUAUCUGGUAGGCAGUAUAGGUAGUACAGAAUCCAAGGAGUUAGUAUUCUGAGGGAGAAUUUGAUGCAAAAUGGGAAGGUAUUGCAUGAAUUCUUAAAAUCAUACUUUUCUCUUGUUUUCUAUAGGUAGGCUGGGGUUAUUUUUAAAAUCCUCCCACCAGCCUGCCAAAUCACAGGAUGGAGUUACUCAGUGUCUCCUUUCCAUUGAAUGUUUUGCUACAUGCAAACUUUCAUCUUCUGUCUCUGUACUUCUGUCUUCUGCUAGGCUUACUUUCAAAGGUUAAAAGACUGGAGUGUACUAGAGUCAAGAAAGCUCAGUGUUGGUUGGAGGUGAAGUCACCAGCAUUACAGUUCUCCACCAGUCACAACUGAUAAGUUCAGAACCACAUCAGGUGAGGUUAUUGUACUCUUGACUUGAAAUGUGAAAGUCAAUGCAUGUGCAAUCACAUAUCCCUGUUAAACCUCUUCCUUGUCAAAUCACAUAUCACUAAUGAGUUUUUAACUGUGAGUUUGGCUGUUUAAAUUGUUAAAUUUCUUCUGCAUUUGUAUGAUACAAAUGGGUAGGUAAAAAAUACCAAUGUUAUGGUAACUUCUGCAUUUUAGGUUAAAAAAAUGCAUAUAAUGUUCCUUUUUACUCAAAAAGAAUUGCUAGCAAAUCAAAAUAGAAAACACAAGCAAACAGAAGAGGGAAUAUUUGAACAAGUACAUGCAAAAUAAUUAUUCAGCACUGCAGACUAGUCUUUUGCAAAGCUUUAAAUAAUAUAUGUACAGAGAUUAGAAAUCCCUGCAAGGAAGUUUUUAAUUUUUUCCUCUAUGAUUCUCUCCAAUAUUUUCUUUGAAGCUCACAUGGCAUAUCUUUUAGCCUAAUUCAAAAUGAUGUUUUUACAUCAAAAAAUGCAGCCAAGCCAAUACUUUUCCUUCAACUGGUUGUUCAAAGAGGGAAAAAUUGUUAAAAUUUGUUGUUUAAAAACAGUCUGCUUUGUGUUAGUCAAUGUGUGAUACAACUUCUCUCUUUGUGUCUCUUCUUUACUCCCUUUCUUUUCUCCCUUUCUCCUUUUCUUUUCUCCUUUUCUNCUUUUCUUUUCUCCUUUUCUUUUCUCCUUUUCUUUUCUCCUUUUCUUUUCUCCUUUUCUUUUCUCCUUUUCUUUUCUCCUUUUCUUUUCUCCUUUAGUCUGUCUUUUCUGUCUUGUUGUGGAAAUAAACAUCUGUCCAUACAAUAGAUUAUUUUAAAA